UGUUUCAUGUGAGGGGUCAUAAAACACCCCUUUUUUUAAAAAAACAUAUGGACUUGUUUUAAUUACUUGUCACCUAUCUACUUGAAAGACGGAGUGGUGGGAGGGAAAAGUGGGCUCCACAAACCAUCCCCGGAUCAAACAAGAGUUUAAAGUACUUGUCUCCUAUCUUAUUUGUUUUUACAACACUGUUUCAUCAACCCAGUCUCACGGCAGUUCGUGUCACAGGACACGAAAUGCAAUCUAUUCAAUUCGUGUUCAUGGACACGAAUUUCCCCUUUUUUUCGUGUCCCUCAGCACGACUUUCGAUCUAAUGUAUUUCAAUAGGAAACUUUUUUCGUGUCCCUCAGCACGACUUUCGAUCUAAUGUAUUUCAAUAGGAAGCAUCUUUCGUGUCUGCACCACGUUUUUUUCUGCCACUCGGAAGCAUUGUUUUUGCUCAUUUGUUAUUCAUUUUAAUUCAUUUUUAAUCUUUAAGCACUACAUUACUCAACAUUUAACCAGGAGAUUUUUAUCCUUGUUAUUAUUGCUUUGUGCUAUGGUCUACCUUUACUGUGUUGAAGACGUCAGCUAAAACUACAUGAUGACCCACCGCCGAUUCUCUUUGAAUGACAUCCUCAUCUUUCUUUCAACACAUAAACACGAAAGUGUGCUUGAUAAUGCAACAAUACGAUGUCAUGACCAUCCGUAUUAUUUUAUUUUCCUUCUACUACAACCCAGUCUCACGGCAGUUCGUGGCAUAGUCACGAACUGUAAUCUAUUGAUUCGUGUUCGUGGACACGUAUUUCCCUUCUUUCGAUCUAAUGUCUCAUGGCAGUUCGUGUCACCGGACACGAAAUGUAAUCUAUUCAAUUCGUGUUCGUGGACACGAAUUUCCCUUUUUUUUUCGUGUCCCUCAGCACGACUUUCGAUCUAAUGUAUUUCAAUAGGAAGCAUCUUUCAUGUCUGCACCACGUUUUUUUCCUGCCACUCGGAAGCAUUGUUUUUGACCAUUGGUGACUCAUUUUUAAUUAAUUUUUAAACUUUAAGCACUACAUUACUCAACAUUUAAGCAGGAGAUUUUUAUCCUUGUUAUUAUUGCUUUGUGCUAUGGUCUACUUUACUUUUACUAUGUUGAUGACGUCAGCUAAAACUACAUGAUGACCCACCGCCGAUUCUCUUUUAAUGACAUCCUCAUCUUUCUUUCAACACAUAAACACGAAAGUGUGCUUGAUAAUGCAACAAUACGAUGUCAUGACCAUCCGUAUUAUUUUAUUCUCCUUCUACUACAGUACAACCCAGUCUCACGGCAGUUCGUGGCAUAGUCACGAACUGUAAUCUAUUGAUUCGUGUUCGUGGACACGUAUUUCCCUUUUUCGAUCUAAUGUAUUUCAAUAGGAAGCAUCUUUUGAGUCCGCGCCACGUUUUUCUUUCUGCCACUCGGAAGCAUUCGGACAGUAAACUAAAUACUACAGUACCCAUGAGCCUUUUCUAUUUUUACUAUGUUGAUGACGUCAGCUAAAACUACCUGAUGACCCACCGCCGAUUCUCUUUGAAUGACAUCCUCAUGUUUCUUUCAACACAUAAACACGAAAGUGUGCUUGAUAAUGCAACAAUACGAUGUCAUGACCAUCCGUGUUAUUUCAUUCUCCUUCUAUUGUGAGAACGGGGGAUUAACUGUGAUUAUUAAGUCAAUUAAAAUAAUAUUAAAAAAUAAAUUAAAUUAAUUAGUGGACGCCCGCAUUACCCGUGAGCCUUAGCGGAGACGGCUGCUAUGGAGACGGAGCCAGCCCGCUUUGCGAUUGGUUGAUUUCUGCAGGCCGCGAAUUCUCCUUCAUUGCGCUCAACCCACUACCCAGGUAAGCCACGAGACUUGAAUGUAAUGAUCAAAUUUGUUUAAAUGUUAUAAUUGAUGCUUUUCUUUGGGAUUAGACUCACAUGGUUUACAUGUUAGAGCAAAGAAUUAAAGGCCGACCGACGGUUUCCAUAUUAACAGUAAAAAAAAGAAGAAAAAAACCACACGCCUUUUGUGCAGUCAUACAGAAAAUGGGAAAAACGUGAAUUUUAUUGGUUUAUUAAGUAUUUUAAGGACAAUUUGUCGCAUUUUAAACAUUUUUUCAACAUGUCUAGCCUUCACUACAUAAUGAACUUUUUCUGUUCUCCCUGCAGAUCCCGUCUAACUUCACCUUCACCCUAUAUAAUCACCUCAUUCCCAAAAACCAAAGGCACUUUUAAGAGCCAACCUCUCUAUCUCUCUCUCUCUCUCUCUCCCUCCUAUCCAUCUCUUCAAUAUCUAUCUGUUCUCUAUCUCAAUUUCUCUAUUUCUCAGUCUUUCCUCUCUUUCUGUCUUUUGUCUACUUGUCUGUUAUCUGUCUCUGUCUGUCAGUCUGUCUGUCCAGUUGCUUGCUAUAAUGCCAGGGGGGUCUACAAAAAAGAUUUGUCCAUUUUGUCAGGGCAUUUUAUUUUGUGCACAGAAAAUAUGUUGCCAUUGUCAAAAGGAGCAGCCUCUGAAGCAGCGCCUCAAGAAGAAGCUUCAGAGGUUUGAUGACAAGCGAGAGGAAUGGGUGUUUGGUCGUAAGAAGAACCACACCAGUGGAUCCAUCAAGGAUGAAGCCAUAAUCAUGCUUGAGAAACUCCAUGCCAUUGGAUACAAGCCAGUUCUGCUCCUUGGAAAGGAAAACAAAAACAAAGAAGUGUGAAAUAUUAACUCCUCGCUGCACACUCUCCACCUGUGCCCAGGACUACCUUCAGAGGAUAGGCCCAAUAUAUGAAAAAAUUUGUGAUGGUUGGACCAAGGAUAUCGAUGAUGAUCAGCUGAUUACGCUGCACCUCACACCCUGUGACCCAUUGGAGAACACAAGCAACCGUGAGGUGGUGAGGACCACGCGGGUGGAGCAGACGAGCACUACAGAGGGGGAGAUGGAGCAGACGAGCACUACAGAGGGGGAGAUGGAGCAGACGAGCACUACAGAGGG